AUUGAACGCUGGCGGCAGGCCUAACACAUGCAAGUCGAACGGUAGCACAGAGAGCUUGCUCUCGGGUGACGAGUGGCGGACGGGUGAGUAAUGUCUGGGAAACUGCCCGAUGGAGGGGGAUAACUACUGGAAACGGUAGCUAAUACCGCAUAACGUCGCAAGACCAAAGAGGGGGACCUUCGGGCCUCUUGCCAUCGGAUGUGCCCAGAUGGGAUUAGCUAGUAGGUGGGGUAACGGCUCACCUAGGCGACGAUCCCUAGCUGGUCUGAGGGGAUGACCAGGCACACUGGAACUGAGACACGGUCCAGACUCCUACGGGAGGCAGCAGUGGGGAAUAUUGCACAAUGGGCGCAAGCCUGAUGCAGCCAUGCCGCGUGUAUGAAGAAGGCCUUCGGGUUGUAAAGUACUUUCAGCGAGGAGGAAGGCGUUGUGGUUAAUAACCACAGCGAUUGACGUUACUCGCAGAAGAAGCACCGGCUAACUCCGUGCCAGCCGCCGCGGUAAAAC
rnacentral:rRNA from 1 species